rnacentral:rRNA from 1 species
UCUCGCAGUACGGUCGGAAAUCGUACGUAGAGUGUAAAGGCAAAAGGGAGCUUGAUUGCAAGACAUACAGGUCGAGCAAGGAUGAAAAUCGGACUUAGUGAUCCGGUGGUGCUGCGUGGAAGGGCCAUCGCUCAACGGAUAAAAGCUACCCUGGGGAUAACAGGCUUAUCUCCCCCAAGAGUCCACAUCGACGGGGAGGUUUGGCACCUCGAUGUCGGCUCAUCACAUCCUGGGGCUGUAGUAGGUCCCAAGGGUUGGGCUGUUCGCCCAUUAAAGUGGUACGCGAGCUGGGUUCAGAACGUCGUGA